AUGGCGAUGGUGCUCCGGGAAGGAUGCGGAGCCUUCCCCGCCUUCCCCCGCCCUGCCCGGGUUGUGCUGGGGGCCCGGAGGGUGUGUGCGAGCCGAGCCGGGUCCCUCUGCCCCGGUCCCGAUCCCGGUGCGCGAUGUGAGCGCAUCCGCACCAUGGCCCGGCAGAGAGACCUGGACAAGCUGCUGUCAGACCUGCGCUCCUUCCUGCUCAUCCUGGACCGGGAAAGCCUCAGCUCCGUGGCUCGGGAUAAGAAGAAGUCGGUGGCUGAGCUCCUGUCGCGGCUGCAGAGCCCCUCGAGUGAGCGUGGGGAUGCAGAGUACAUGAUCAUGCGCUGCCUCUCGCCGUCCCCACAGGGCCAGCCCAGCCCUGGAGCCAGGAGGAUGGAUGCAACAGGAGGAAGAACCUGUGAGUGCCACACGGCCAGGACCCUGAGCCUGCAUGGAGGGGUAAGCAUGGAGGGGCUGCACAGAUGGGAGGUGGGCACCCAGUGA
rnacentral:lncRNA from 14 species